AUCAGAAGAUUCCAGGAACACUACAUGAACUCCAGAAUUCCCUGCUUGGUGGUGGCCUCCAAGUCGGACCUCCCUGAGAACACGCAGCAGGGAAUUUCACCCUCAGAAUUCUGCUACAGGCACCGGCUGCCCCCUCCUCUGCCGUUCUCCUGUAUUGUCCAGGACUCGCUGAACGUGCCGGUCUACUCCAAGCUGGCCUGGGCUGCCAUGUUCCCACAUCUCAACGGCUCUGACAUGACAAGCACCUCGUUCUGGCUGAGAGUGACACUAGGAGCAGCUGUUCUUUCAGUCCUGGGCAUCACCCUCUACAGAGCUUUCAUCAAGCAUAAAUAAAACGCCGCGUGAAGUCGAGCGCUGCUUCUCAGGAGCGGACGUAGCAAAGCAAGGCGGCAGCUUCCCAGAAGGAGUGGUCUUCAAAGCCAGCCCUAGUUCACAUCUGCUGUCUGCUUUGACCUUACAGUAGAAAGCUGGAAAUACUAGGCAACCUUUAGCGGAAAGGUAUCGCAUGGGUUUUUACAGACAUUACCAUGAGGCAGAAUAAGGAAGAAAUGCAUUCAUAUUUGAUUAUCGCCUCCGGUCACAGACGCAUGGUUCGCUGACCUGUAGAGCUUCCAGUUGGUUUUUUCUUCACUUCACGGUACACAAACUGGAAGCAAUAUUCAUGCCAUGAAGUCCAUUGUCGUGAUGAUAAAGAAUGUUGAAUUGUGUGUUGGGAUAUGUACAGAAGUGAUCUGUUUUACUCAGCAUUCAGUCAAUUUCGGCAUAUUUGACGAUUGCGUUGUUGUAAGUCUGUUCUGUUACGUGUCUUACGGCAACCUGAUGGAUGCUCGCUUGGAGCCCUGGGUGAGAGCUGUCAGACACACAGCAUAGUCUCACAAACUGUGUUCUUAAAUCUUGGUUGUAAUUUUCCCAUUAUUUUCUAAGAGGUUGUUGCAGGUAUGACAUCCAUGUCUUUAUAAGUUUAGCCUUAAAACCAGAAAACUUGUUUUAAUGAAAUAGGUCUCCUGGGCCCUUUUCCAACAUUUAAUUUUAUUUAAAUGAACGGAGUUUAAAAUAUGAACGACGAAUGUCCUGUUCCAUUGUACACAGACUAAAGUUCUCUAUUGGCUAUUCAAAAUAAAUAUAUAUUUCUAAAUUA